rnacentral:rRNA from 1 species
GACGAACGCUGGCGGCGUGCUUAACACAUGCAAGUCGAACGGUGAAGCGCCUUCCUUUUUGGUUGGUGUGGAUGAGUGGCGAACGGGUGAGUAACACGUGAGUAACCUGCCCCCUUCUUCUGGAUAACCGCAUGAAAGUGUGGCUAAUACGGGAUAUUCUGGGUCUGUCGCAUGAUGGGUCUGGGAAAGAUGUUGUUUAGGUGGGGGCUGGGCUCGCGGCCUAUCAGCUUGUGGGUGGGGUGAUGGCCUACCAAGGCGGUGACGGGUAGCCGGCCUGGGAGGGUGGACGGUCACACUGGGACUGAGGCACGGCUGAGACUCCUACGGGAGGCAGCAGUGUGGAAUAUUGCACAAUGGGCGCAAGUCUGAUGCAGCGACGCCGCGUGAGGGAUGGAGGCCUGCGGGUUGUGAACCUCUUUCGCCAGUGAAGCAGGCCUGCCUCGUUUGUGGGUGGGUUGACGGUAGCUGGAUAAGAAGCGCCGGCUAACUAUGUG